rnacentral:rRNA from 1 species
AAUGAACGCUGGCGGCGUGCUUAACACAUGCAAGUCGUGCGCGAAGGUGGCUUCGGCUGCCGGAGAGCGGCGAACGGGUGAGUAACACGUGGGCAAUCUGCCUGGGGGUGUGGGAUAACCUGGGGAAACUCGGGCUAAUACCGCAUACGUUGCCGGGACCUUGGUCCUGUCAAGAAAGCUGGCCUCUGUUUACAAGCUAGCGCUCCCAGAGGAGCCCGCGGCUGAUUAGCUAGUUGGUGAGGUAACGGCCCACCAAGGCGACGAUCAGUAGCCGGCCUGAGAGGGUGAUCGGCCACACUGGAACUGAGACACGGUCCAGACUCCUCCGGGAGGCAGCAGUGGGGAAUCUUGCGCAAUGGG